rnacentral:tRNA from 2 species
GGCCCAAUGGCUCAGAUGGUUAGAGCGCCGCCCUGUCACGGCGGAGGUCGCGGGUUCGAGUCCCGCUUGGGUCG